UUUUGUUUUUUCAUUUCUCCACAUAUGAGUCAUCUCAUUCUAGUGAUUGGGAGGUGCUUGGGAAGGAGGAAAAAAGGCUCAAAUAAUCCAUAUGUCAGAGCGAAAUAGACUGUACAUCUGUCAUUGUGACCAUGGCACAGAGCUUCCCUUCCUAUGGUGUUUCUACAGUAAGGUGAAAAUGCCCUGGUGGAUGUUGAUUCCUUCUUUUAAUACUGCUAAACAACAGGGGCAGGACAGACUUCAAUCAUACGCUCAAUUUUGUGUGUGAAAUAUUCCAGACCACAAAGAAGGUAGUUCUUAAAUUUUCCCCAGUAGACAAAUAGUCCUGGAUCUGCUUUGAUACAGCUGGAAACCUCACUUCCGUCUUGUAAUAUUCCAUAAUAUUUUCUGAGAGUCCAUAGACAUCGUCUGGUGUGCUUGAACCUUGAAUUAAUAGCACAGAGUUUAAGGACUAUGUAGUGAACAAUUGUAUUACUGACAGUAAGAAUUGAGUUUACAGCAAUGAAUCAAAUCUCAUGAAAAAAAAAAAAGGAGCUUUAUGAAAGGUAGUCAGAGUAUUAAAUGGAAGGAAUAUCAGGAAAUAAAAUUAGUAUGCUUAUGCA
rnacentral:lncRNA from 1 species